rnacentral:ncRNA from 1 species
CGACGAUCCGGUUUGGCACCUCGAUGUCGGCUCAUCACAUCCUGGAGCUGGAGAAGGUUCCAAGGGUUCGGCUGUUCGCCGAUUAAAGUGGUACGUGAGCUGGGUUCAGAACGUCGUGAGACAGUAAUUGACCGUUGCUGUCGCUAAACUUAGCUAUAUGCUGGAAAGUCUGAGUAUCUUGCACUACUCUAUUGAAGAGUGAAAAUGUGGCAAGUGCAGACAAUCAGCAGGAAAGUCGGGAUCGCAGGAAUGGAGAUUACAUCGCGGGAUUUGUCGAUGGUGAAGGCAGCUUUCACAUUGCAUUUCAAGAACGUCCAAACUUGAAAUUUGGCUGGCAAGCCGUUCCGGGAUUUCGUAUCAGCCAAAAUUUUCCAAGUCAGCACGUUUUGGAAGCAAUUUGCAAGACAUUAGGAUGUGGUUACAUCAAGACCAAUGAUGCUGCUGGAAAACGCGACAAGACCUUGGUGUAUGUUGUAAGAGUUCGGAAGGAUCUUUUGGAAAAAGUAGUUCCUUUUUUCGAGCGGCAUCCAUUGUUUUCUGAAAAACGAAAAGACUUCCAAAUUUUUAAAAUCAUCGUUCAGAUGAUAGGCAGCAAUGCUCAUCUGAGCAUCGAAGGUUUUAAAAAAAUUGUUCGUCUUGCGUUUUCCAUGAACGCAAAUGGACGCUAUCGCAAGCGAAGAAAGGAAACCAUUCUUGCGAAUCUUCGCAUCCUCAGAGACUGUACGCUAAGUAUCCCCCAUGAUUCCGGUGGAUAAAGAUACAGUCCGAUCUUCAUGGCGACAUGAAGACCUUAGUAGAAAUGCUAAGGCACCUGCCAAGUGGGUGGGUCAGUAGGGCUCGUGACAGAGCCUGAAGUAACAGAAAUGUCGGUCCCUAUCUAUUGUGGGCGUAGGAACCUUGAGGAAUUCUCUUCCUAGUACGAGAGGACCGGAAGAGGCGAACCUCUGGUGUGCCAGCUAUUCCGCCAGGAGUAGCGCUGGGUAUCCAUGUUCGGAACGGAUAAGCGCUGAAAGCAUCUAAGCGCGAAGCUUUCUCCAAGAUAAGGGUUCCCUCCCCCACCAUUUUAAGGUUCGUCCAUAAGGACGUUCCUUAAAGUGGUGGGGGAUCGAAGACCCCUCGUAGACUACGAGGUUGAUAGGCGAGAAGUGUAAAGGUAGUAAUACCUGAGCUGACUCGUACUAAUCGGUCGUUCGGCUUGACGAU